AGUCGAACGGAGCGCCGGACACGGACUAUUUCGGUAGGAAGCGUGCGGAGGCUUAGUGGCGGACGGGUGAGUAACGCGUGGAUAACCUGCCGCAUACCGGGGGAUAACAGCUGGAAACAGCUGCUAAUACCGCAUAUGCCCGCAGUGCUGCAUGGCACAGCGGGGAAAACUCCGGUGGUAUGCGAUGGGUCCGCGUCUGAUUAGGCAGUUGGCGGGGUAACGGCCCACCAAACCGACGAUCAGUAGCCGGCCUGAGAGGGCGGACGGCCACACUGGGACUGAGACACGGCCCAGACUCCUGCGGGAGGCAGCAGUGGGGAAUAUUGCACAAUGGGGGAAACCCUGAUGCAGCGACGCCGCGUGAAGGAAGAAGUAUCUCGGUAUGUAAACUUCUAUCAGCAGGGAAGAAAACAGACGGUACCUGACUAAGAAGCCCCGGCUAACUACGUGCCAGCAGCCGCGGUAAUACGUAGGGGGCAAGCGUUAUCCGGAUUUACUGGGUGUAAAGGGGGCGCAGACGGCCAUGGCAAGCCCGGUGUGAAAGGCAGGGGCAUAACCCCUGGACUGCACUGGGAACUGUCAGGCUGGAGUGCCGGAGGGGUAAGCGGAAUUCCUGGUGUAGCGGUGAAAUGCGUAGAUAUCAGGAGGAACACCGGCGGCGAAGGCGGCUUACUGGACGGCAACUGACGUUGAGGCCCGAAAGCGUGGGGA
rnacentral:rRNA from 1 species